ACCUGGGUGGCUCAGUCGGUUGAGCGUCCGACUUUGGCUCAGGUCAUGGUCUCGCGGUCUGCGGGUUCGAGCCCCGCAUCGGGCU
rnacentral:tRNA from 1 species